rnacentral:rRNA from 1 species
CAUCGCCUCCUGCAACUGGAUUGAGUAUAGGAGGUCCAGCCUGCCCAGUGACUACGGGUUCAACGGCCGCGGUAUUUUGACCGUGCAAAGGUAGCGCAAUCACUUGUCUCUUAAAUAGAGACCUGUAUGAAUGGCUAGACGAGGGCUUAACUGUCUCCCCCCUCCAGUCAGUGAAAUUGAUCUAUCCGUGCAGAAGCGGGUAUAACCGUACAAGACGAGAAGACCCUUUGGAGCUUAAGGUACAAAAUUCAACCACGUUAAACAACUCCAUAAGAAGCAAGAACUUAGUGGCAAAUGAAAUUUUACCUUCGGUUGGGGCGACCGCGGAGGAAAAAUAAGCCUCCGAGUGGACUGGGCCAAACCCCUAAAGCCAAAAGAAACAUCUAUAAGCCGCAGAACAUCUGACCAAAAAUGAUCCGACUAAAAAGCCGAUCAACGAACCAAGUUACCCUAGGGAUAACAGCGCAAUCCUCUCCCAGAGUCCAUAUCGACGAGGGGGUUUACGACCUCGAUGUUGGAUCAGGACAUCCUAAUGGUGCAGCCGCUAUUAAGGGUUCGUUUGUUCAACGAUUAAAGUCCUACGUGA